GACGAACGCUGGCGGCGUGCCUAAUACAUGCAAGUAGAACGCUGAAGGAGGAGCUUGCUUCUCUGGAUGAGUUGCGAACGGGUGAGUAACGCGUAGGUAACCUGCCUGGUAGCGGGGGAUAACUAUUGGAAACGAUAGCUAAUACCGCAUAAGAGUAGAUGUUGCAUGACAUUUGCUUAAAAGGUGCAAUUGCAUCACUACCAGAUGGACCUGCGUUGUAUUAGCUAGUUGGUGGGGUAACGGCUCACCAAGGCGACGAUACAUAGCCGACCGGAGAGGGUGGUCAGCCACACUGAGACUGAGACACGGCCCAGACUCCUACGGGAGGGAGCAGUAGGGAAUCUUGGGCAAUGGACGGAAGUCUGACCGAGCAACGCCGCGUGAGGGAAGAAGGUUUUCGGGUCGUAAAGGUCGGUUGUAAGAGAAGAACGAGGGUGAGAGUGGAAAGUUCACACUGUGACGGUAACUUACCAGAAAGGGACGGCUAACUACGUG
rnacentral:rRNA from 1 species